CGGGAUCAAACUCAUCAUCAACCUCAGCCGUAUUAGGAAUCACUUGCGGCAGCUCCUCGCCCUUUACGCGCAGAGGGGCGCUGACGCGCAGCGCCCAGUCCCGGAGCAGCGCACGGCUGCCGAUGGGGAUCGGGCGGCGGCGGCCGGCGGCGGAGGGGAGGCUGGUGGCGAGAUGGUUGAGGCGGCGGGCGGAGAGGGCUGCCGGCGGGAGGGGGCGAAGGCCGCAACACUCCGUCAGCGCCCAGCUCGCCAUUACGGCGAUUCAAGCUUUUAGGGUUUGUGGUGAAGGUGGAGAGAUGAGAUUGCUGUGGCGUGGGGGGG
rnacentral:misc_RNA from 1 species